UACGAAGGGGGCUAGCGUUGUUCGGAAUCACUGGGCGUAAAGGGCGCGUAGGCGGCUUUAUAAGUCGGGGGUGAAAGCCUGUGGCUCAACCACAGAAUUGCCUUCGAUACUGUAGAGCUUGAGACCGGAAGAGGUUAGUGGAACUGCGAGUGUAGAGGUGAAAUUCGUAGAUAUUCGCAAGAACACCGGUGGCGAAGGCGGUCUGCUGGGCGAGUAGCUGGACA
rnacentral:rRNA from 1 species